rnacentral:ribozyme from 13 species
CUCUUCUUCUUCUCUUCUUCUUCUCUCUUCUCUUCUUCAGUUUUAAUUUUCCCCCCCAAUUCUUCUUCUUCUUCAUCAAAACCGGUAGGUGAAAAGGGAGAGACAGGGUGAGAAGACGAAGAGAAGUUCUUUUUUUCUUCUUUCUUUUUUGGUUUUUUUGGUUCUUUCUUAAUAAAGAAAUCUA